rnacentral:misc_RNA from 1 species
AAAUAAAUAAAUAAAUAAAGACAACAAAAGCCGUAGCAGCAUUUCUUCCUGAGAAUAAUGUAAGAAAUGCAUAAGCAAAACCGAGAUAACUCAACAGAUAUAAUCUACUAAAAACCAUAAAUUAUUGAAGUAUUUCAAACUUGUUUUAUUGUAAGUUUAAAUGUAAAAUCUCAAAACAUAUGAGACUUUAAUCCCACAAACAUGUUCAGCAUUAGCAAUUUAACAGUGAAUUAAUGAUUGUAGUUACUAUUAAUGUACCAGCAGAUAUUUGACUAAACAUUGAGCAUUCUUCUGUUACCACAAUUAGCGCAUAAAGCUUCAAAAUACCUGAUUAACUAACUGAUUUUUAAA